UAAGGAAUAUUGGACAAUGGACGAAAGUCUGAUCCAGCCAUGCCGCGUGCAGGAUGACAGCCCUACGGGUUGUAAACUGCUUUUAUACAGGAAGAAACACUCCGACGUGUCGGAGCUUGACGGUACUGUAAGAAUAAGGAUCGGCUAACUCCGUGCCAGCAGCCGCGGUAAUACGGAGGAUCCAAGCGUUAUCCGGAACCAUUGGGUUUAAAGGGUCCGCAGGCUGUUUUUUAAGUCAGAGGUGAAAUCCUACAGCUCAACUGUAGAACUGCCUUUGAUACUGGAAAACUUGAGUUAUAGUGAAGUGGUUAGAAUGUGUGGUGUAGCGGUGAAAUGCAUAGAUAUCACACAGAAUACCGAUUGCGAAGGCAGAUCACUAACAAUAUACUGACGCUCAUGGACGAAAGCGUGGGGAGCGAACAGGAUUAGAUACCCUGGUAGUCCACGCCGUAAACGAUGGAUACUAGCUGUUCGUCUAACAUUGGUUAGAUGAGUGGCUAAGCGAAAGUGAUAAGUAUCCCACCUGGGGAGUACGGUCGCAAGACUG
rnacentral:rRNA from 1 species